CGAGCACACGCACCGCUGGUCGGUGCGGCAGUACAGCCGCAGCGCCUUGUCGUGCUGCGGGCACAGCGCCUCCGCCUGCUCGCCCGGAGCCGGGAUCAGCUGGUGGGACUUCCCGUGGAAGCGCUCGUCGUGGGCUCGGAGACGCUGCACACGUCGGGGUUGAGCAGGCGGCUCCGCUGGAACGUUUCCACCACUUCGCCCAGGACCGUGUUCCGGCUCAGCUGGGGUCUGGGGCUGAACACCCUGCGGCACUGGGGGCAGCUGCUGUGGCCCCUCUGCUUCGGCCGGUCCCAGUACUCUUCGAUGCAGUCCAGGCAGUAGCUGUGGCCGCACGGGACCGUGACCGGGUCCCGCAGGAUCUCCAGACACACCGGGCAACUGAACUGGUCCUGUUCGAUGGAAAUGGUUGCUGCUGCCAUUUUGCUUCGCAGGUGGAGUGUUGGGCGUAGCACAGGUGAUGAGGUUCCGGUUCCAGCUGCCGCACCCACAAGCCUCCAAUCACAGUGAGCGGAACAAAGUAGACCUGCAGGCGUCACCUGUGCAGGUGUUCACGUUUACACACACACACGGACACACACCAGUCUGUUUUGUUUGCUUUUAAUGUCAGCAAGUCACUAAUCACAAUGUGCUGCCACUGUCUGUCUGCAAAGCAAUAUAACCAUUAAAAUGAAAAGUAUUUAAAAAAGCAAAGCUACAUAAAUUUAAAUUAUAAAUACUGA